UAAGAACCCUGAAAGAUGAUCAGGUUGAUAGGUCAGAGGUGGAAGCGCGGUAACGUGUGGAGCUGACUGAUACUAAUCGUUCGAGGACUUAACCA
rnacentral:rRNA from 1 species